rnacentral:misc_RNA from 1 species
GAUGAAGAACGUAGCGAAAUGCGAUACUUGGUGUGAAUUGCAGAAUCCCGUGAACCAUCGAGUCUUUGAACGCAAGUUGCGCCCGAAGCCAUUAGGCCGAGGGCACGCCUGCCUGGGCGUCACACGUCGUUGCCCCCCCAUCUACUCCUUUGGGAUUGCGGGGGGCGGAUGAUGGCCUCUCGUGCGCCUCGUCGCGCGGUUGGCCUAAAUGCCAAGUCCUCGGCGACGCACGCCACGACAAUCGGUGGUUGCGAAACCUCGGUUGCCUGUCGUGUGCGGUCGUCGCGCAUCGAGGGCUCGAAAAAAUUGCCGGGCUUCGGCUCGACUUUCAACGCGACCCCAGGUCAGGCGGGGUUACCCGCUGAAUUUAAGCAUAUCAAUAAGCGGAGGA